CCUCUUACCUCAGCCUCCCAAAUAGCUGGGGCUACAGGCACAUGUUGCCAUGCCCGGCUAGAUAAUUUACAAAAACACUUUCUAAUGUUCUUCAAUUGAUGAGCCGUCAACUUAAAACUGCAAUGUCAACCUCAUUUAUCCAUUGUUUUUGGUUUCACCAUCCUGACCGUCAACAGGCUCCUCCUCCAUCUCUGACCCUUGGAGUCACAGUCCCUUCUUGCUACCUCAUCUCGUUUCAUGCACCAGUAUAAAAAAAGCUGGUGUGUUUGUUUGUUUGUUUGUUUGUUUGUUUUUUCCAGCUUUAAGUACUUUUCUGUCUGGAGCCUAAUGCCUAUCUUUGGCUAGAGAUUGAAAAUUGCUUUUCAUCUCUCCUCCUCUUCAUCUUUGGAAAUUUCAUGAUCUCUUUGAUUUGUACUUACUAACUUCCUCUAAGUGAAGAGCAUUUGCUUAUUCAGAGAGAAUCAUAGACAGUCCCCCGGAGGAGGUGAGAAGUGUAGAAACAAAUGACCAUCACAAUCUCAGGGCAGGUUGGAAAGUGGAUUUUGUUGUGUAAUUACUUAUAUAAUGGUUAUGAUUAUGGGUUCAGCAGUCAUAUUGCCUAAGUUUGAUUCUGGACUAGGUACUUAUUAGCUGGGAGCAUUGGUUAGAUGAUAUAAUCUCUCUGUAGCUCUGUUUUCUCACCUAAAAACAGUAGUAAUAAUCUCUACCUCAGGGUUUUUAUGAGGACGUAAAGAGCUCUUACUUGUAAGGUUCUUGGAAUGGUGCUUCACCAAGCACUUAGUGUGUGUGUGUGUGUGUGUGUGUGUGUGUGUGUAUGUGUGUGUGCGUGUGCAUUUGCGUGAGCAUGUGAGUGUUGUAUGUGAACUAGAGAUGUUUCUGUUCUGGAUCUCACCACCCAGAACCAAGUACAGUUCUAAACUAACUCUCUAAUCUCAUUGAGAACAGCCUCCACUCCCAACCACUCUGUGUUCUGUGUUCCUCUGAAUCUCUUAACCUCUUUUGCAGCCAUGGCCAUAGGACUCGUCAAACAGGAUAAGAAGACUUCCAUAAAUAAUCUCUGACUCUCCUGGCCUCAUCAGGGCACAUUCUAGACGGAGAAGAAACCCACAUUCACCUAACAUAUCCUACAUUAGGGGGAAGAGUGCUGGAUUCAGAGCCCACUUCAGGGGAAGACAGGACCCUCUCCAAGGUGGCUUCCCUAGAAGCUACUACCUCUCCCUGGAGGGUGGAGAUAUUUGCUGGUCAAAGAGCUCCCCAUCUUAGAUGUGAAAUUUGAUACCUACCUGAGCAAUGUUGUCAGGUAAACUUUCAGGUAAAUACUACCCAAAAGAUUAUAACCAUUUUAAUAUCAAUAAUGAAACUGAAUUCCUUUGUCUUGGGGCUGUUUUUAGAUAAAAUACUAUAAAACAUCCAUUUUAAUUCUCAUCAGUUGGUAAGGCACUGUUGUAACACUGCAGUGUCCAUCUUCUCUUUCAGUGUUGUCUGUUUCACUCUCCAGCUCAACCCCAGAGUCCUCCCGCCAUGCAUCCCUGACCCUUGGAGUCACAGUUCUUUCUUGUGACCACUCUCCCACUUUUUUCAUAUCUCUGUUUAGAGUCAAGCUGCUUCCUUUAGAAGAUGUAUACCCCUUUCUAUCCAAAGCUGAAUAUCCAUAGUUUAGUCUUAAUUAUGUGUUUUGUUUCACCGUCACGAGUUCUCUGAUCUUUAUCCUCAGAUACGCUCUAUAGAGUCCAUGCUGUAUAGUGGUUAUGGCUGUAGGGUCAGGGAUCAGAUUGUCUUAGUUCAAUCCUGGACUGGGUACUUGUUAGCUGUGAGGUACUGGGUAAGUUGCUUAAUCUCUCUGUGCCUCAGUUUCUUUAUAUGUAAGGUAGUGUAUUGAUUAUCUUCUGACUCAAAGUGUUAUUUUGAGGAUUAAUUGAGGUAAUGCAUGUAAAAUUCUUAGAGCAGUGACUGGCACAAAGUAAAUAAGCUCUCAGUGUGUGUGUGUGUGUGUGUGUGUGUGAGAGAGAGAGAGAGAGAGAGAGAGAGAGAGAGACUGACUAUGGGUGUCUUGGUUCUGGGUCUUAGCUGAACUAAAUAGUCAGUCUCAGUGAGAACAACCUUUAAUCUCAUCUUCUUCAUGUUCUGCAUUUGUCUAGAAGUCCAAUGCUUUCAUGUGACUCAGCACAUAGGAGUCACCAUCCAGGACAAGCAGCCUCUCCUGCAUGAUCUUUGGUCCUCCAUGCCUUAGAGAGAACAGAUCAGCUCCCUGUGGCAUACAUCAGAUUGUACAGAAACCUUCCUUCUUUUAACACUUCUGCCUUGGGAUACAUUUACCUUAUCCUUUAUUUGAUAACAUAGAUAUUAAAAUUCUACAUUGAUAUGCUAUGUACAGAGGCUGGGAGCCAGACUGUCUAGGGAAAAGUCUGACACUUGCUGCUUUCUGGUUUGUGCAGGCAUAAAAUAGCGACAAUAGGACCUUCUUCCUGGAUUUGUUAUGACUAAAUGAAGUGACCCAUGUAAGUGCUCUUAAUAUGUAGCAUAUGCCAUUGAGUGGUGAGUCAAAAUGUUAGCUAUUAUUAUGAAAACUCAUUUUGUUUUUUCGUUUAAUAAGUUCUACCUGGGUAUCUUCAGUCACAGGGAAUAAUGAAGAGUUGGGUGGAGUACUUGUUAACCCCUAAGUGAAAGGCAUACACUUAUUUUUCUGAAAAAUUUUACAGACUCUCAUAUAGUAAAAUUGAGAAAGACCCUGGAAGCAAAUGGCAUCCUAAUCUUAGGGAAGGUUAGAAAGUAGAAUUUACAGGUGACACUUUGGGAAGCCACCUAAAAUGCAUGGGGACCCAUCUCUAACCAUUAGAUUUGUAGUGAAGAUUUGUUAAAGAAAAUUAAAAUGGAAACCAGACAUGGAGAAUCACUUAGAUGAUUCAGGCUGGGUUAGGUCACUUAUGGAAUCACUUUUCCUGGAGCAGGGAAAGCCAGUUAGGCCUCAUAAGUGACCUAACCCAGAUUGAUUUGCAAACACAAGUGAAAAUUAACUUGAACUAUUUCUUAUAAAUACUUGUAUUAAAGCAAAAUGAAAUUUAAGAUUAACCUAUCAGAAGCUGCCAACUAAAUUAUAUAACUAGAGACUUUCCAGCAGUAUAGGCCAAUUAAGGCAAUUGUAUAAAGGUAACCAAUCGAAUAUUUGCUUUAGUUCCGUGGUUGCCCUGUGAAAGCCCUCCCCUUGUAUUCCCUUGGUGGAGCCCACGGACCACUUACAGUUUGGAGCUGUCUGAUUCAUGAAUUGCUAUUUGCUCAAGUAAACGCUUUAAAAUUUUAUUGUACCUCAGUUUACCUUUUAACAGGACAAUAGAUUGGAUCAGCAAAAAUAACUUUACCACCAUGGUUGAAGAGCUAGCUAGAUACCUACACUGUCUGGUGAAAUUUCCUUUUUCAGGGGUAAGACAUUCUAAUGAGGGAAAUGAUCCACAACUGGACUAACCAAGGUGGAAGAGCUGAUGAAAAGACACUGGAGAAUCAUGCUUAGAGAUAGAUGUGCAUAUGUACAAUACACAGCUCAACACUCAGUAUUUUCUGAAGAAGCCAUAAACAACCUAAAUAGUUUUCUUGGUUGCUCAUUUUCAGCCUUUUCAACAGGAAUGCCCAGUUUUGCCUCUUUGCCAGCUAUUAGCUGCUGAGUUUACCCUGAACUUUGUAAACACUGUUCACUGUUCCCACACGAUCUGUAGGGUUGUUUUGCUUCUCUUCUCUCUUUUACCCUAUAUAUCUUCUUUUUCUUUUCCUUUUUUGUUUUCUUUUUUGAGACAGUGUC